rnacentral:rRNA from 1 species
AUUAGAGUUUGAUUAUGGCUCAGGAUGAACGCUAGGCGGCGUGCUUAAUACAUGCAAGUCGAACGGAGACAGUAACAAUAUUGUCUUAGUGGCGAACGGGUGAGUAACGCGUUGGUGACCUGCCUCGAAGAGAGGGAUAACAGUCCGAAAGGAUUGCUAAUACCCCAUGUGGUCAUUUGGAUUAGAUGCCUUAUGACUAAACGGAUUUAUUCACUUCGAGAGGGGCCUGCGUCCCAUCAGCUAGUUGGUAGGGUAAUGGCCUACCAAGGCGAUGACGGGUAGGGGACCUGAGAGGGUGGCCCCCCACAAUGGAACUGAAACACGGUCCAUACACCUACGGGUGGCAGCAGUAGGGAAUAUUGGUUAAUCUGCGAAAGCGGGAACCAGCAACGCCGCGUGCACGAUGACGGCCUUCGGGUUGUAAAGUGCUUUUUGAAAGGAUGAGGAAGGACAGUACUUUCAGAAUAAGCUUCGGCUAACUACGUGCCAGCAGCCGCGGUAAAACGUAGGAAGCGAGCGUUAUCCGGAUUUACUGGGCGUAAAGCGUGUGUAGGCGGUUUGACAAGUUGGAUGUGAAAGCUCCUGGCUUAACUGGGAGAGGUCGUUCAAAACUGUCAGACUUGAGAGUGGUAGAGGGAGGUGGAAUUCCGGGUGUAGUGGUGAAAUGCGUAGAUAUCCGGAGGAACACCAGUGGCGAAAGCGGCCUCCCUGGCCCAUUUCUGACGCUCAGACACGAAAGCUAAGGUAGCAAACGGGAUUAGAGACCCCGGUAGUCUUAGCUGUAAACGAUGUGAACUUAGUGUCGGCGGGUUUAAAUCCGUCGGUACUGAAGCAAACGCGAUAAGUUCACCGCCUGGGGACUACGGCCGCAAGGUUAAAACUCAAAGGAAUUGACGGGGCCCCGCACAAGCAGCGGAGCGUGUGGUUUAAUUCGAUGCUACACGAAGAACCUUACCAGGGUUUGACAUGCUAGUGGUAGGAAUCUGAAAAGUGACCGACCCUUCGGGGAGCUAGCACAGGUGCUGCAUGGCUGUCGUCAGCUCGUGUCGUGAGAUGUUCGGUUAAGUCCGCUAACGAGCGCAACCCUCGCUGUGUGUUACAAGUGUCACGCAGAACUGCCGGUCUUAGGCCGGAGGAAGGUGGGGAUGACGUCAAGUCAGCAUGGCCUUUAUAUCCUGGGCUACUCACACGCUACAAUGGUCAACACAAUAGGUUGCUAAGCCGCGAGGUAGAGCCAAUCCUCAAAGUUGGCCUCAGUUCAGAUUGUAGGCUGCAACUCGCCUGCAUGAAGAUGGAGUUGCUAGUAAACGCAGGUCAGCUAUACUGCGUUGAAUACGUUCCCGGGGCUUGUACACACCGCCCGUCACGUCAUGGAAGUUGGCAACACCUGAAGCCGGUAUCCUAACCGCAAGGAGGGAGCCGUCGAAGGUGGGGUCGAUAACUGGGACGAAGUCGUAACAAGGUAGGCGUACCGAAGGUGCACCUGGAUCACCUCCUUUCUGAAU